rnacentral:rRNA from 1 species
UACGAGUGCUCCAAGCGUUAUCCGGAAUUACUGGGCGUAAAGGAUGUGUAGGUGGUCGUGUUAGUCUUGUGUUAAAGCUCCCGGCUCAACUGGGAAAAGGCAUAGGAAACGGCACGACUAGAGGAUAGGAGAGGUAUGCAGAACUCAUGGUGUAGGGGUGAAAUCCGUUGAUAUCAUGGGGAAUACCAAAAGCGAAGGCAGCAUACUGGCCUACUCCUGACACUGAGACAUGAAAGCGUGGGUAGCGAAUGGG